rnacentral:rRNA from 1 species
GACCUCGGAUCAGGUAGGAAUACCCGCUGAACUUAAGCAUAUCAAUAAGCGGAGGAAAAGAAACCAACAGGGAUUACCUCAGUAACGGCGAGUGAAGCGGUAAUAGCUCAAAUUUGAAAUCUGGCUCUUUCAGGGUCCGAGUUGUAAUUUGUAGAGGAUGUUUCGGGCACGGUUACGGUUUAAAUUUCUUGGAACAGAAUGUCAAAGAGGGUGAGAGUCCCGUCUUGAACCGAUUACUUCGUCCAUGUGAAACUCCUUCGACGAGUCGAGUUGUUUGGGAAUGCAGCUCAAAAUGGGUGGUAAAUUUCAUCUAAAGCUAAAUAUUGGCCAGAGACCGAUAGCGCACAAGUAGAGUGAUCGAAAGAUGAAAAGCACUUUGAAAAGAGAGUUAAACAGUAUGUGAAAUUGUUGAAAGGGAAGCGCUUGUAAUCAG